rnacentral:rRNA from 1 species
AUGGCCAACUUCGCCGCCCAGCUCAGGGAUAGGUUUUUCGGCCUCGUCGACCGCGUCGCCGGCUGUGGCCGCGCCGGGGUCAGGGAGGAGGCCCCCAAGUCGGCGCCGGCCGUGCAGGAGAGUUACAGUUGUGUAGCAAGAGAACUCACCGUGCUGCUCAUUACUCUUGCAGCAUGUCGAGAUUCGACCGAGAGGCCCCGGUGUGUCAGGAGGAUCGGAGGCGGGAGUCAAUUAGACACCGCAAGAAGAUGCCGCUUCAGGUGGGUCUCUGAGCUGCUUGAUUACAACGGUACAUGGGACUUAGGCCGAAUCCAACUGUACUUUCUGCUAGUUGACGUAAUUGAGAUUUGCAAGAUCAGGCCAUCCCCUAUGCUAGGGGAAGAUUUCAUUGCUUGGGCACCGGAAAAAAAUGGUGUCUUCACCGUUCGUAGUGCUUACAGACUCGCUGUAGAGGAUCUGGGUGGGCCGCUGAUUGCCUCUUCUAGCUCUAGCCCAGACGGGCGUGAUGGGUGGAAGGCGAUCUGGUCCUGUGCCGCCCCUCCAAAGGUUUUAACAUUUGCAUGGCGACUUGCAUCGGACUUACUGGCCACAUGGUGCAAUAAACAUAAAAGCUAUGUGAACUCACUACAUGCGCUGGAGCUUGCCCCCAUUGCUGAUAUCAAAGGAAAAAUGGUAUCCCACUCUCACUUUCCUCAUAUGGCAGCAUGCAAGAAUAUUGCGGUAACCCCAUCGUGUCCUUGGUUUCCACCGAAACCUGAGAGAGUCAAAUUAAAUACUGACGGUUCGGUGGCCAAGGGUACUGCUGGGCAGGAUGCUUUAGAAGCAGAAAUUUUGGCACUAAAGGAGGGUCUAUCCCUUGCACUGCAGUGGAGCAACUCACCAAUAGAUAUUGAAUCAGAUUCUUUGGAAGCCGUUACCAUGGCUGCAAGGCCGGACUGCUGUCUGGCUGAGCUCUGGUCCAGAGGAAGUCCUGAAUAUUGUUGGACGAGAUUGUAA